GCGGGACGGCGGGGGGGUGACCCGAGUUUCGCGGGGCCCAGGGGAUGGGAGGCCCUGGGAUCUACCGGGACGCGUAUGUCUCCUGCAGUUUGCGGGGCUGGAAGAGCGCCGGCAGGACGCGGCCCUAGCUGUGACAGCUGUCCCCUCGAAGCGUCUAUUCCAAGGAAGCCGACAGGGAGCCUCACCUGGAGCCUAAGACCAGGAAACUCAAAUGGGAACUUCAAAAAUGAUCCAUUUUUUUCCUGGCCUUUCUUCGACCUGUGAAGUCAACUGCUUCCACACUGGAACAGUGAGCUCGUGAUCAUACUGAUUUCCACAUUUUAAUUUUUAAUAAAAUAUACACAAAUUA